rnacentral:rRNA from 1 species
AACGAACGCUGGCGGCAGGCCUAACACAUGCAAGUCGAACGCCCUAGCAAUAGGGAGUGGCAGACGGGUGAGUAACGCGUGGGAACCUUCCCAUUGGUACGGAAUAGCCCAGGGAAACUUGGAGUAAUACCGUAUAAGCCCGAAAGGGGAAAGAUUUAUCGCCGAUGGAUGGGCCCGCGUGGGAUUAGCUAGUUGGUGAGGUAACGGCUCACCAAGGCGACGAUCCUUAGCUGGUCUGAGAGGACGACCAGCCACACUGGGACUGAGACACGGCCCAGACUCCUACGGGAGGCAGCAGUGGGGAAUAUUGGACAAUGGGCGCAAGCCUGAUCCAGCCAUGCCGCGUGAGUGACGAAGGCCUUAGGGUUGUAAAGCUCUUUUGGCGGGGACGAUAAUGACGGUACCCGCAGAAUAAGCCCCGGCUAACUUCGUGCCAGCAGCCGCGGUAACAC